CAGUAGCCGCGGUAAUACGUAGGUGGCAAGCGUUGUCCGGAACUAUUGGGCGUAAAGGGCUCGCAGGCGGUUUCUUAAGUCUGAUGUGAAAGCCCCCGGCUCAACCGGGGAGGGUCAUUGGAAACUGGGAAACUUGAGUGCAGAAGAGGAGAGUGGAAUUCCACGUGUAGCGGUGAAAUGCGUAGAGAUGUGGAGGAACACCAGUGGCGAAGGCGACUCUCUGGUCUGUAACUGACGCUGAGGAGCGAGAGCGUGGGGAGCGAACAGGAUUAGAUACCCCAGUAGUCCCUGUCUCUUAUAC
rnacentral:rRNA from 1 species